UGUGAACUCGAAGAGUAGGGCGGGACACGUGGUAUCCUGUCUGAAUAUGGGGGGACCAUCCUCCAAGGCUAAAUACUCCUGACUGACCGAUAGUGAACCAGUACCGUGAGGGAAAGGCGAAAAGAACCCCGGCGAGGGGAGUGAAAAAGAACCUGAAACCGUGUACGUACAAGCAGUGGGAGCACCUUCGGGUGUGACUGCGUACCUUUUGUAUAAUGGGUCAGCGACUUAUAUUCUGUAGCAAGGUUAACCGUAUAGGGGAGCCGAAGGGAAACCGAGUCUUAACUGGGCGUUAAGUUGCAGGGUAUAGACCCGAAACCCGGUGAUCUAGCCAUGGGCAGGUUGAAGGUUGGGUAACACUAACUGGAGGACCGAACCGACUAAUGUUGAAAAAUUAGCGGAUGACUUGUGGCUGGGGGUGAAAGGCCAAUCAAACCGGGAGAUAGCUGGUUCUCCCCGAAAGCUAUUUAGGUAGCGCCUCGUGAAUUCAUCUUCGGGGGUAGAGCACUGUUUCGGCUAGGGGGUCAUCCCGACUUACCAACCCGAUGCAAACUGCGAAUACCGAAGAAUGUUAUCACGGGAGACACACGGCGGGUGCUAACGUCCGUCGUGAAGAGGGAAACAACCCAGACCGCCAGCUAAGGUCCCAAAGUCAUGGUUAAGUGGGAAACGAUGUGGGAAGGCACAGACAGCCAGGAUGUUGGCUUAGAAGCAGCCAUCAUUUAAAGAAAGCGUAAUAGCUCACUGGUCGAGUCGGCCUGCGCGGAAGAUGUAACGGGGCUAAACCAUGCACCGAAGCUGCGGCAGCGACACUAUGUGUUGUUGGGUAGGGGAGCGUUCUGUAAGCCGUUGAAGGUGGCCUGUGAGGGUUGCUGGAGGUAUCAGAAGUGCGAAUGCUGACAUAAGUAACGAUAAUGCGGGUGAAAAACCCGCACGCCGGAAGACCAAGGGUUCCUGUCCAACGUUAAUCGGGGCAGGGUGAGUCGACCCCUAAGGCGAGGCCGAAAGGCGUAGUCGAUGGGAAACAGGUUAAUAUUCCUGUACUUGGUGUUACUGCGAAGGGGGGACGGAGAAGGCUAUGUCGGCCGGGCGACGGUUGUCCCGGUUUAAGCAUGUAGGCGGAGGUUCCAGGUAAAUCCGGUACCUUUUAACGCUGAGGUGUGAUGACGAGGCACUACGGUGCUGAAGUGACAAAUGCCCUGCUUCCAGGAAAAGCCUCUAAGCAUCAGGUAACAUCAAAUCGUACCCCAAACCGACACAGGUGGUCAGGUAGAGAAUACCAAGGCGCUUGAGAGAACUCGGGUGAAGGAACUAGGCAAAAUGGUGCCGUAACUUCGGGAGAAGGCACGCUGAUAGGUAGGUGAAGUGAUUUACUCAUGGAGCUGAAAUCAGUCGAAGAUACCAGCUGGCUGCAACUGUUUAUUAAAAACACAGCACUGUGCAAACACGAAAGUGGACGUAUACGGUGUGACGCCUGCCCGGUGCCGGAAGGUUAAUUGAUGGGGUUAUCCGUAAGGAGAAGCUCUUGAUCGAAGCCCCGGUAAACGGCGGCCGUAACUAUAACGGUCCUAAGGUAGCGAAAUUCCUUGUCGGGUAAGUUCCGACCUGCACGAAUGGCGUAAUGAUGGCCAGGCUGUCUCCACCCGAGACUCAGUGAAAUUGAACUCGCUGUGAAGAUGCAGUGUACCCGCGGCAAGACGGAAAGACCCCGUGAACCUUUACUAUAGCUUGACACUGAACACUGGUCCUUGAUGUGUAGGAUAGGUGGGAGGCUUUGAAGUGUGGACGCCAGUCUGCAUGGAGCC
rnacentral:rRNA from 1 species